UUUUUUUUUAAAAAAGGUGCUAUGCAGACCAAAUAAGGGAAGAAUCUGAAGGCAUACAUGGAAAGUGUAGGUGAUCUUGUCAUUGUAGUCGAUGACAUCCUUCCAUUUCUUGCCAAUGUUUACCUGCACAAUAAGGGAACAGGUCAACACAGAACAGCACAUCAAUACCAUCGAGAUAUUAGAAAAUGGCAAUGGAAAACUUCAAAGGCUGCAGCAUGGGAGCUCUUCAAUGGGAUAAUGAUGGCCAACAGAAGACGACUCAAACUGUAGGGAGAGGUUCAAGAAUUACAAAAUAAUAACUUAGGAAAGGUUUUUGGGCGUCUUUCUUCCAGUAUUCCUUGUUGAAUGCAUACAGGAUGGGAAUAUUGUUCACAUAACAAUUUUAUAAACAUAAACAUUACGCACAAAUACAACAUGUAAAAUUUCCUACAACAUCGUAUUAAAUAAAGAAACCAAGUAACCACUUUCACGCAAUAUCACAGUGUUGCUCACUCAAUAAGCUGUUUUGAACCCUGUAUCCCUGCACAACCAAAUAGCAUGCACAAAAACUCCUAGCAAACUAUAUAGUUCUCUUUCAGAGGGAGAUGAUUUGGGGUAUAUGCCCUUUCCAAGAAAGAAAGCAAUUUUGCAGCUUUAAUUGAUAGCAAAACAUGUCUGGUAGAACUAGUGUUGGAUAUCACUCCCUGUCUCUUGAGUGUUUAUCAUAAACACACUAGCUUUUUUCUCUUGGUGGACACGCACACAAGCACAAGAUGACAUAAGUAGUUUUUGGUCAAUGCGAUCACUUUAGCCCUCAUCGUUUUCUCACAUAUAUAGCAGAUACAAGGCUGCACACCUGUCCAUGAUAUCCUCCUAAUUAAAGCAGUCAAUGCCCAUAUGAUCUACAUAUUGUUCUCUUUAACUAGAAGCUGAAAUCUAUCCACUAAUAGGAAUGAAUCUAGGCACUAGCUGAACCUUGACACAUUCUAGUAAUGAGAUUAAUGCUAACAACUAGAACACCUGUCCAACCAAAAAACAAACUUAUAAUGCAAUCAAACAAGAUAUGGAACCUUGAAGAGAACUACAGUAAUACAAAACUUCUACAAUAACUAACUACCAUCUGCAUUUUGAAGUCUAGUAACGAGAUUAAUGCUAACAAAUAAAACACCUGUCCAACCAAAAACAAACUUAGAAUGCAAUCAAACAAGAUAUGGAACCUUGAAGAGAACUACAGUAAUACAAAACUUCUACAAUAACUAGCUACCAUCUGCAUUUCGAAGGGGACAAGACCAGCCAAGGUGAGCUAUGCACGCCUUGCGUAACUGUUACCCAAAGCGAACUCGGUCCACCUGGACGCCUAGGCGACGCCUUUGAAACACUGGCUAUCAUGCCACUGCAACGCUAAUACAAAAACUUCUACCAGAACUCGCAACAAAGGAAGCAGGAGGAACUGGGUAUCGAGAGAUGUAUACCAGAAGGCAGCACAGCAGCUAGGGAUUUGCACAGCUUAUUGACAAUAUUGGCAGGAAGACAACAGUGAACUAUAUAAAUCUACUUUCCCCUUUAUCAAGAUACGAACCAAAGCACUAUGGCAUAUAAGAAAAUAUCAGUAUCAUAACUGAUUACAGAAUUAGAAUGACUUUCAAAACCAACCUGGACAGCUUCAUUGCUGGCAGUCCUAGUCCAUAAUGCAAGCUUAUCUCCUCUCUGACGGACACUGGCAACAAUUCCACAGAUGUCCUCGGUUUCAUCAAACUGCUCUCCAAUAAGAGCCAUCAACUGCAUGUUCAAAUAGUUAUUCAAAGCUCCUUCAAUAAAUACAUCUCAGGUAAGAUCAGCUUCAGGCUGAUCUAUAAAGAACUUCCGAGCACCUGAACAUUUGAAAUAAGAUUAAGAAAGAUGUACCGUUUCAAGCCACAUGGUCUCAAAGGUUGCCUUUCUGUUGCAUGGGACAGUCCAUUUGCCACCAUUUGCACACUCUGGGUCUUCCCAUUUUGGCUCCACUCCAGCCUUGAACAGAUGAAAAUCAGCAUUCCCAGUCAACUUGCUUGGACGGAAAAUCUGAUCGUACAAGCUACACCAAGAAAGAAGGGAUCCAUAAGUAUACAGAUUCCAUAGAGUCAAAUUAAAAGGUGUUUAAGGUGAAAUACCACCAAAUAAAUAAGCUUAAAAUUACAUAAAUAGAAGACUUCAAAAGACAAAACACGUUGUGUAAGUAUUGUAAUCAUUGAUAGCUAUUGCUUAUUAGUUAAGGCUAAAACUAAGAGGUUAACACUUUCUAUAUGUGACAAGGGCACAAGUCUAAUGCAAGCCAGAACAUGUCUACCUUUUAUAGAAAAGGUUAGGUCAUGAAAGACCAGUGGAAGAAAUUCGGAGAAGAUUCAUUCUGUAUAUCCAACACGCCAAGAUGCUCAAACCAGGAAUAACACAGUAGAAUUAUCAGCAGUUGAUUCAUUUUAGUUCAGCGUGGAGUCUUUAACUGACAUACCAAUCUUAAUAUGAUAGAAAGCAACUCCUUAACUACAAGGAUAAAUCCCCCCUCUCUUAACGGACAUUGUAGAAUCUCUACUACAGCUGUACUUCAUUUGCUAUAGUAACAACUCUACCACCAUAUCGUCACUAAAAACACACGGGACAGCUAAAUAAACCAGCCAAACGCAAUCAACAAUCAGAACUAAUCCGAUGCAAACAGCAGAAAAUAAUAUCACGAACAGACAACUAACAUAUUUCAUCAUCUAUAUCAUAGUUUCAGAUUUCGUCGGCUAAGGUAACCUAGAACCCAAUCUACCCCGCAAAUAAUUCCCACCGCCACAUGCCGCCUAAAACACCACAGAAACUGAUGAUCAUGAACCAGCACGGCAUCCAGAUCGGAUCCGAGCGGAACGGAUCCGGAAGUGGCGUGGGAGAAGAGGCGAAGCCCCCGCGGCGUCGGUCACGUACCUCCAGAACUCCUCGACGGUGUCGAAGGUGUAGGCCUUUUUGAGGGAGGUGCCCCACGCGGCGCCGGGCUUGGGCUUCGACUGGAUGUCGUACCAGAAGGUCCACUGCCGGUGCAGCUUGUGCGGCCCCUUGGCCUCCGCCGCGGCGCCGCCCUCGGUCGCCGCGACCUCCGGGGUCGUCGCCGCCACAGCCGCCGGCGCAGUCUCAACCUCCGCCAUGUCGCGCCGCCGCCGCCGCUUUCCGAGGGUUUUUUUUUUGGGGUGGAGGGGGAGGGGUGGGGAUAGCCGAUACGAGAGGAGGGAGGGGAGACAGAGAGAGGCUGCGGCUGUCGAAGAGACGUGAAGGGGAAGAAGGGUUCGGCCUUUGGGGUGAGCGAGGUCGGCGUGGGCGUUUUGAUUGGGCUCCGGCCCAGUUCAUGUUGAAUUGCGGCAAACGAGGUACACAUUUUUCUCAGCUCGCUUACAGCACGAGCAUACAUUUGAUAUAUUUCUAUUUGUUCCUCAAUAAAUACUAUGGCAUCUAACUACACGAAUCGUACAAAUAUUACGAAACAGAUGAGGUAAUAAAUAAAUGGUUGCGAAAGCCUAACAUUUUAAUCUGAUGCGAAACCGUAUUUUAAAAAAGGAGCAGGAAUUGAUAGCUAAAAAGAAGAGGAAAAGCAUGAACAAGAAAGGCUAUUAAGAACGGUUGAAGAAAUCUCCAACCCGGGCAAUGGUGCUCCGAUGGCAGUAGAUAUUCCAGCACUGCUAGGGUCUCUUAUUUCAAGUUGGAGAGUAAUUUUCACAUGGAUCGAGCUAGAGCUAGAGGAAGGUCUAUGGGAGGUUGCUAGCUGAUGGCAGAGAUGAGUGAUGAACAAGAUGGCAAGACAGUACCCCUAUAAUGGGAUACUAAACAGUGGGUGUUGGAGGCAGCCAAGGAGGUGUCGAGUGGUUUCGUGAGCAACCAAAAGCUAGACAAAGGGCGGUGGCGGCAGGACAAUUUUGCCAGUUGAUAAGAUGCCAUCGCUAAGCCAAACGGGACAGUUAACUUAUUGAAAACAGUUUCAAUUUCAUCAGAGAAGCUUCAGAAGCCAUCACUAAAGGAGCUGCUUCAGAAGCUGUUUUUGUUUUAGGAGAAACUGAAGCUAUACCAAACGGCACAUUAGAUAGGCUAAAAUUGAGUGAUAACUUUAGCACAUAUUAGUAAUCAUAUUUUUGCUAAAGUUUUUAAAAUCUUAUCUAAAGUUUAGCCCACCCAUUAACACUUCUAUUUCUGUUUGAAUCCACUUUAAAGCUUUAACACUUGAAUCCAAACACCUCCUUAAUCUUUCUUUCAUGGAUAGUCUCAUUUCAUUUGAGCUUUGCUUCGUAUGCUCAUGCGAGUGAAAACGUAGUUGACUUCCUAUUGUUCCUAACUGUGAGGUGGAGCGAAGUUGUGACAGAUGAUAAUACACCACACCCUCUGAAGGUUACUUGGAACAGAAAGCAAUGUGGCGUUAAAAACCAUAACAGGGCUAUUACCAAAUAACAACCAAACUUUUACAAAGAGAUGUACAGAACCUUCACAUGACCUAACUGGUUAUAGUCACCUCAUCUGUGCAGUGUAUCACCUAACAACAGAUUAUACACCCUAGCCUAAAAUUGUCAAAGCUCAUAUUUCAGCUCGCUUUUGCCGUUCAAUUCUCAAUGAACCACAAAAAGAAAAGUAUAGCGGUGUGAGAACAAAUCAAUUUUCCUAAAACGAGAAGAAUUGGGCCAUCUGUGUAUGUGCUUGAGUAUCAAAAGGUGAGAUUCAAACCACGUCUCUUGUGGUUGGACAACACAGUGGUUGCGUUCUAUGUUUUUUAUAUGCUGACUUCCUCCUGUUCCUCAGAAAACUGCAAGUGUUGUGUAUAUUCAUGUCUACAAAUCAUGGAAGAGGCGCCUAAUUUGUUCAACAGUGGCAGGCAUCAGCGUGACAGGGCACCUUUUAUGCUGUAGCACAAAACAAUGCCAUAUAAGCUGAUGAUGGACAGACAAUGUGGCUGAAAUAUAUAUUUGUAUCUGAUAUGGUAGAACCCACCUGAGAGACGGACUUGAAUAUGCAGCUGUAGCAAAAAACAAAACCAGAAACAGAAAGAACAGAUGGGUUGGCACGCUUCUGGCAGCACAGGGGGCAGAGCGUCUUGUCAGUUGGCAAGGGGAUUCCGUCUUUGGCAACCUAAUAAAAAUGUUGCAGACCCAUAUGAGAUUGUAAUCAUGAACUAAAGGUUUCGUUAUUUAACAGUUUAACACAAAAUAUGUGAACUGCAGAGAAAACAACACAUUUCAGAAUACUUGCAAAAUCACGGGUUGACUACGUCAUAAGAGAAUGGUGGCAGGCUUAGAAUAAAUAGAUAUACCUUUGGAGUUGGUGGUGGAGGGGGUGGUGGAUAUACAGUUGGAGCGGACAUUCUUUCUUCAGCAGAUUGGUACCACCACUCCAUCAUCUAAGGUAAGGUUGCCAAAAGGAGAACAUUAAGUACAGUUCUGUAGUUGAAAUCAUGCUUUUCAUAUGGAGAUCUAACACAUGGAUAGAACUGGUUCAUGUAAACGCGUAAAAAAGUCUGCAAACAUCAUCAAGUAAGGACUUUGAUUUCUUAGCCAUUUCAAUAUUUAGAGGUUUAAGGAUGCCUUAAAGGAAUUAUUUCUCCCAUUAGUUUCAACUUUCAAUCGAAGUAUUUACAAAACAAAUAUCAAACAUUUGAACUCAGCAGCCUGCCUGUAAGAAGAUAUUCAAAGUGAGAGAUUAAAGAUAGAUUCUCUAAGACAGGAACUUGCAGAACAGACCUUGAAAAAGAAGACUGCAGCAAUUAAACCUGUUUGUGCAUAAUCUAGAGUUGUAUAUAUACAACUAAGGAACACCCGUUGCACAGCCUGCAGAGGUCAUACAAAAAAGUUCUUGUGAUGAGCUAGGGCUCGAAAAUUCACACAUGAAGCCAAUACAGCUACUGAGUACCGACAGUCCUCUCCUACCUUUAACCAUGGAGGACCACGAAGUCUUUCAAGUUCACGAUUUCUAAUCCUUGAUAUCCUAGAAGAUGAAUCCAUCUAUUUAUUCAGAUGACGAAAGAGAAAAUAUAUUAGGCACAUCAUCGUAUAAAGAAAUGGAACGUGUAAAUGUAUUUGCCCACUGGUUAGUGCUUCCAAUGAUUAAAAAAGGGUUUUGGUCAGAAAAGAAAGUGAUAAAAAAGGGGUGCCAUGUGAUACGAAAAAACACAGCGAUAAAUAUGCAAUAAUGGGAUUCUAAACAUGCCUCUGCAUAACUAAUAAUAAAUAUGCCAAUAAAAAGAAAGUGUUAAGUGCAAUACCAGCUCUUGUCCAGUAGCACGACAAACGUGAAGCCCUAGCACAUGCAGUGCUGGACUAUAAAAAGCAGUGGCAUCCAACAGAUACAGCAGCUGGUAUGCAAACGAGAGACCUGCAAACAAGGAUGCCAUAAGUGAAACUCUACAGCCCACAUGAUGAAACAAACAACCACGCAUUGCAUCAUUCUUUUGAUCACAUGAAACACAAAUGAAAUUGGGUUAUACUGGACAAAUAGACCAAAAAAAUACUAGCAAUGCAAAACUAAAAUGACAAGAUCAGAAGAUCAAAGUUUAUUCUCCGGAAAAAAGUGUCAAGAAAGGAUGAUGCAAAGGAAAUAAGGAAAAAUAGAGCUGAUUGUGAUUCUUCUCACUGGUGCUUUGUAACAAUAAUAUGGAAUAAUCAACUCCUAGAAGAGAAUCAAGACAGAACAGCACAGAUAUUACUUAUAAUUCAUACAGGAUGAAGAUUCAUGGGAGUAGCUGGUAAACAAACCUUCAUUAGUUGCAUGAAUCCAUGGAUAGCAAACGCCUAUGAGUGAGGCAAAGUUCUUCUUAAAACGUGUCAAGUUUGACACUUCUCCAAUUGUAGGGUCAUUCUGUGCUUGAGAAGUCUGCUCCUGAUCUAAUACAAAGCCAGCUUCAUCAAACCUCACAUCAUCCUGACCCCAAAGAGUUGCCUGCAACCUGGCUUCCCUUUCUCUAUUGUAUAUAGACUGCAACUUUGACUUAAAAUAUGGCAAAACAACCUACAAUAACAUCAGCAAAAGUUCAGCAUAAAGAGAAGAGUUAUUCCAUAAGCAACAACUUUCAUCAUUAUAUGAAGGAAAAUUUUGGCACACAUUGCUUUAUAUCAAAAGUUCAAUGUACAUAGUUAUUUACUUACCUUAGACACAAUUCAAGUUUUCAAUGGUUGCAUUUUGGGAAUGGCACAAUACAUGGACUAUUGAAAUCAGAAACUAACAUUUCCAAACAACAAAAAGAUAAAACAGGAAGACAUAUUUUAAUUUUUUUAUUCAUAAGGCAAGUUCUACUGAACAGUGAUAAAUGGACAUGGGUGUGGGUGUGGGUGUCUGAUCCAGCAGAUUUUUUUGGGACAUGCCAAAAACUACUUGGAAUCCAACGUGACUGAAGGGUGUCUGACUCAGAAAAAAAUUAGGACAAGGUCGUAUGAAUAAAACUGCAACUUAAGUGCACCCCAAAUCCAUUCAAUAUUUUUUUAAAAAAAAACUAAGUUAAGGACUAGGGUAGAAUAUAUCUUGAAGCAGGACAAGAACCAAUUGUCAAUAAUAUAAUGCAUAAAGGAAUAAGGAUAUAUACAUCCUUAUAGCAGUUGGGUACCGCAGGAAGCAAUUGCGCCACAUAUAUCACAACCAGAUGCCAACAAACUAACAAGAUUGAAAACUGAAAACCAUAACUGAGAUCCGAAGAUAGCAAUACAGUAACAGCAUCAGGGCCGUAAGUUAGGCAAAAGGCCUUUUCUGAUAUUCAUACUACAGAACUAGUCAGUUGUUCAUAGACAAAUCAGCUCAAUCUUAAUAAGAAACUCUUGGCGCAAACCAGAAUAGAAAUCUCAUGAAGCCAUGAGUCGAGAAACUCAAGUCAUGGCACUGAAUCUAGUUCAUGUACUUUUGCGAGUACCAAAUUUGAUAAUUCUUUUUAUAGCGAUAGCUAAGCAGCAAAUGGUAAAUUAUGUUUCCCCUAGGAAUGAAGAACAAAGCAGACACAAAGCUGCAGUGUGUCAGUAAAAUUGCUCGCAUCCUACCAAGAAAACCACCGAGAGGAUUUUCUGGCGCUUCCUUAGUGCAGAAGCAUAGACUUUAUCACUGGAUUCUGUACCAAGGCUCUUUCUCUUUACUGAAACCUUAACAGGUCUCCUCCUGAGACCAUAUAAUGACUCUGAAAAAGAACCAUCUGAAAGAAAACAAUUCGGAAAAGUUAAAAUAAAUACAAUUAAAAUUUGGUCACUGGGAUCAAGCUUGCUUAGUUAAGUUUGUCCAUUUGACCAGUUUGGUAAUAUUUUCACAUACAUUAGUAGAUUAAAGUAAGUUAACAGAGCAUGUUAGCAGUAAUCCUUGUGUUAGUUAUCUAUCUAACUAGAGUUAGUUUACUCAGGUUAGUGUAGGGUAUCUUCUGUCUUCCCUUAGUCAGCAAGCCUAGUUUCCUUAGGGGGUAAGUUCUUGGUCAGCAAGGACCUUUGGUCAGCAAGUAAGUCUAGCAGCUGUCUUUGACAGCCAGUAGUUGUGGUCAAGUUGGCUUUUGCAAGCUGCUGGACAGCAGCAAUCUAAGGAGCAAGCUCUUGCUUCAAAUGAACCAAGCCUCUCGUUUCAGCUCCUGCAGUUCCAAAACAGAACUGAGUGCUGCCUAGACACUCCCUGUUUCCCUUCCUGCUCAUCCUAUAGUUGCUGCAACCUCCAACAGAGCAGUCGGCAGUUAGGCCUAGUUUUUGGUCUGGCAAUAAGUUGGUCCAAGCAUGGGCUCUUUUGAUUCUAUUAAGAAAAAUAAACCUGUAGGGCUGGAUGAUACCAUUCCAAUAACCUCAGGUGGUAUGUAAACUAUGAGACAGAUAUGGUGAUAGUAAUGCAAGUAUGAACAUAAAAUAUGAUGGCUCGCUCUAUUAAAAAUAUUAGUAUACUGCUGCAUGAAAUUCUUUUCCCAAUAGGUUCAAGGGGGCUUCGUUGAAGAAAAUAAGACACUCAGAAUCAACAUUGUAAUGCCAGUUCCAUUAGUUUUCUGUAUUCCAAUUUCGUCCCUUACAAGUGUCCUAAACAGACUAGUGUUCUCAUGCAGAAAGUAUUAUGGUAGAGCAACAACGAACCUGUUGUUCGUAGACUGUGAGACUCAAGGACUCCCAUUAACAAGGCGAAGAAUUCAUCUUCAUAAUCUAAAACUUUGUGUAGUAAUGGCCUUCUUAGUGCAAAAACCUGCAAGUAAAAAUGAGUUAACCCUAAUCCACAUAAUUGGUGAAAUAAACUUUUCCGAAAUGCAUGGACGUCAUAUUUGGAGGAGAGAACAUCAAUAAGGAACGAUUAAAGUUUUUUGAGGGUACUCUUAUGCUUCCCUAAGUAAUGUUCGUAUGCAACUUUGCACAAUCAAACAUAAAAAAUGAGUUGUAGAUUGUAGAAUACUCAUUUCAUAUAAAUUGAAGUAGCUGGAUAGUUUUGUAAAGAUAAAACUGUUGAAAUAUAACUUAUACACCUACCUAUCAGUUGAGUGUAAUUGGUAACAGGGAGGAAAAGUAUAGCAUGUGCAGCAAGGAAACCUAAGUAUAUUGGCUUUCCCCAAAAAAUAAUACACUGAUUUUAAGAGUAAUCUAUAUAUUAAUGAAGCAAUCAGAACAUUACUACAAUAAGAUACAUGAAAACAUGCAUCGGUUUGCUAAAAGAUACCGGAGCAAUGCGCAUUGGCAGAUGUUCAUAUCCUAUGUCCUGUUACACAUUAUAUUUCUUAUGUCACAUUGUAUGCAGGUUUUCUUGCGACAAUAUGUUGACCCUAUAUGUGAUGGUUAGUCUCCAAAAAUUGCAACACACAAGAAGUCAUCUACAUUAUCCAUAGUUUUCCACUGCACACAGAAGUGCAGAACAUCAUCAUGCUAGCAGCCAGCUCAAUGUGCAGUCCCAUACCACUCACACAAAUGAAUUCAGUCUGAGCCUGACGGUUAGCCAAAAUGGGCUAACCUAUAUAAUCUGAUCUCAAGCUCAGUUUGCACUUGCAAUUACGUCUAACGAACUAAACCUUACCGAACUCUCUUAAAGCUAAAGAUGGCAGGACAACAAAAAGCAGCGAGACAAACAACAUGUAGAAGCAGUGAAAAACUUCAUAAUCAUCCCCGAAACUAAGAUCACUUCAAUGCGUCAUUCCGCGACGCACUAUUGUGCCAUCCAUGACAUCGGGGGCACGCACGACUAAGCAACACGCCACGCAAUCCCCCGAACCAGGCACGGAAUCUCAGUGAUUCGAUCCAAUCAGAGACGAGCAAGUAAGGGGGUGAGGCGAGCGGUUUUACCCCGAGCGAGUAGGUGAGCGCGGCGCGGAGGCUGGCGGGAAGCUGCUGCGCGGCCGACAUCUCGAAGAAGGUGGGCCGCGCGCCCUGCCCUCCCACCUGGAACAGCAUCGCCGCUGCCCCCGCCGCCCGCGCCGCCUCCGGGGCUGCGGGAGGGAACUAGGGUUGCGGCCGCGGGCCGGGGCCUAGAGCUCGGCUGGCGCCGGAGCUGCGGCGGCGGCGGCGGGCGCGGCCGCUGCGGGGCGGUGUUAUCUGCUGGGAAGCGACGGUUUAGUGUUGGCUCGCGCGUCCACGGCGGUGAGGGGAACUCGCCAGGCAAGGGCAAGGAGAGGGAAGGUGGGACGCCGGAGAUGGGUUGGGGGGGAGAGUGGGAGACGAGACGAUCAGCGGCUCGACCGAGGAGAGGGGAGGAAUCGCGACACGACUGAUCGGGCCUUGGCGGGUCAAGAGGCCGAUCUGCCAACAUUUGGGCGGUCCAGAAGGUACGGGCUGUAUGGGCCGAAAACACAACAGCAACGGUUGCCGCCGGUGAUCAGGUUGGGUUUUGGGCUUUUGACUCCGUGUUUGGUUUUCUGCCAUCUUUUAUUUGAUUUUCUGCUAAUUGAGUUUUGGGCUUUUGGCUCCUCGUUUGCACUCAAAAAAAGGAAAAGUAACGUUCCCCUCAGACAGCUGCCCAAGGUCUUGAUUUAAUGGUAAUUUCAAACCUUAAUUACACCGAACGCGCAACUCCUGUACAGCAGCAAAAUACUCCUCACCGAUCCACACUCACACUAGGAAGAGACCUAGCUUAAAAGCGGUGGCCGGAGGAGCCAAUGCCGUCGUCGAAGUUCCGGGAGUAGCUCUGCAGGUCGUAGCCGAACCUCACCGCGGCCCGGCCCGGCCUCCCGGCGCUCAGCCUGCACCGCAGCAGCCUCCUUAACAGCUGCUUCACCGGUGCCGCCGCUCCGCCGUCGCUCCCCGCGCCGACCCUCCGCCGGCCGCCACCGCCUCUGGACGUGCCCAUGGACAGCAGAGACACCAUGCUUCGCUCUCUCGAUCGGUCACACCGUCGCGGCAACUCGAUCGCAGCUUCGCGCUGCUUCACAGUUCACACUUCACACUACCGUCGGUUGCUCCUGGGUCCUGCGCCUAUGCAACUGCAGCUUCC
rnacentral:lncRNA from 1 species